CACGUAGUUAGCCGGUGCUUAUUCUUACGGUACCGUCAUGGACCCUCUUUAUUAGAGAGAGUCUUUUCGUUCCGUACAAAAGUAGUUUACAACCCGAGGGCCUUCAUCCUACACGCGGCAUUGCUGGAUCAGGCUUUCGCCCAUUGUCCAAAAAUUCCCCACUGCUGCCUCCCGUAGGAGUCUGGGCCGUGUCUCAGUCCCAGUGUGGCUGGUCGUCCUCUCAGACCAGCUACAGAUCGUCGGCUUGGUAAGCUUUUAUCCCACCAACUACCUAAUCUGCCAUCAGCCGCUCUAGUAGCGCAAGGCCCGAAGGUCCCCUGCUUUCAUCCUUAGAUCUCAUGCGGUAUUAGCUACUCUUUCGAGUAGUUAUCCCCCAUACUAGGCACGUUCCGAUGUGUUACUCACCCGUUCGCCACUCGUCAGCAUCCGAAGCCUGUUACCGUCGACUUGCAUGUGUAAAGCAUCGCCGCCAGCGUUCAAUCUGAGCCAGGAUCAAACUCU
rnacentral:rRNA from 1 species